rnacentral:rRNA from 1 species
GCUCCCUCCGCGCCACUCAGACGUCCUACGGAGGGCAGCAGUGGGGAAUUUUGCGCAAUGGGGGAAACCCUGACGCAGCAACGCCGCGUGGAGGAUGAAGUCCCUUGGGAUGUAAACUCCUUUCGAUCGGGACGAUUAUGACGGUACCGGAACGAACGAAGCACCGGCUAACUCUCGUGCAGCCGCCGCGGUAAUAC